CAUUUUGCUGUGGACGAUGGACGAAUAUGGUGGAUUUUCCGCAGUUAGUGAGCCCCGGUGCAUGGCUCUCUGAUCUAUGCCAAGAGAGAUAUGAAGUGAGGGAAAAGAAGACAUCCAAGGAGAGACCAAGAGGAUUGAAGGCCAUGGGAAGCAUGGAAAGCGAUUCAGAAUGAGAGACAUUUCGUUUGGUUUUCGAUUUUUGGGGGUUUUUUUCCCUUCUUUAUUUGGAUUUUCAGAGGAGAGUUGUAAGUUGUUAGAGGCUAUUAGCGAGGAAAAUUGAAGAAAUAGGAGAAGAUAGAGAAAGAGAUAGCUGUCUCCGUUGCUUCUGUAUAAAAUUGCUUUUGCUUUCCCCUUAGAAAUAAAAUGUUUCAAUUUCUUCCG